AUUGAGCGCUGGCGGCAGGCCUAACACAUGCAAGUCGAGCGGAUGAAGGGAGCUUGCUCCUGGAUUCAGCGGCGGACGGGUGAGUAAUGCCUAGGAAUCUGCCUGGUAGUGGGGGAUAACGUCCGGAAACGGGCGCUAAUACCGCAUACGUCCUGAGGGAGAAAGUGGGGGAUCUUCGGACCUCACGCUAUCAGAUGAGCCUAGGUCGGAUUAGCUAGUUGGUGGGGUAAAGGCCUACCAAGGCGACGAUCCGUAACUGGUCUGAGAGGAUGAUCAGUCACACUGGAACUGGGACACGGUCCAGACUCCUGCGGGAGGCAGCAGUGGGGAAUAUUGGCCAAUGGGCGAAAGCCUGAUCCAGCCAUGCCGCGUGUGUGAAGAAGGUCUUCGGAUCGUAAAGCACUUUAAGUUGGGAGGAAGGGCAGUAAGUUAAUACCUUGCUGUUUUGACGUUACCAACAGAAUAAGCACCGGCUAACUUCGUG
rnacentral:rRNA from 1 species